rnacentral:rRNA from 1 species
AGCGAACGCUGGCGGCAGGCCUAACACAUGCAAGUCGAACGGAUCCUUCGGGAUUAGUGGCGGACGGGUGAGUAACACGUGGGAACGUGCCCUUUGGUUCGGAACAACUCAGGGAAACUUGAGCUAAUACCGGAUGUGCCCUUCGGGGGAAAGAUUUAUCGCCAUUGGAGCGGCCCGCGUCUGAUUAGCUAGUUGGUGAGGUAACGGCCCACCAAGGCGACGAUCAGUAGCUGGUCUGAGAGGAUGAUCAGCCACACUGGGACUGAGACACGGCCCAGACUCCUACGGGAGGCAGCAGUGGGGAAUCUUGCGCAAUGGGCGAAAGCCUGACGCAGCCAUGCCGCGUGAAUGAUGAAGGUCUUAGGAUUGUAAAAUUCUUUCAGCGGGGACGAUAAUGACGGGACCCGCAGAAGAAGCUCCGGCUAACUUCGU